rnacentral:misc_RNA from 1 species
UCCUGGGCAGUUUGACCGA